GUUUAUCCAUCCUCCUAAGCGUGCUUAGGGUUUCUCAUUUCUUCCGCUCUAUUCUACAUCACAGCCGCCCUGUUCUUCUCCGUAUUCUUUGAUCUUCAUCUCGACGGUACAAUCUUCUCUCCUUAUUUGUUUUUAUGUUUUUGUUUUUAUGUUUUUGUUUUCAGUAUUGUGGAUUAGGUUCAUCGUUAUUUGAAGUUCAAUCGAUUGAAUGUUUUUCUUCUCAGUCAUCUUCGAUCUUCAUCUCGCAGAUAUGAUGCAAAUACCAAGUUUAUAAGAUUAUAAGAAACCUUAGGCUAGCAUUCAUUGACGAUUCUAUUGGAAGAAAUCGGUUGGAAUCCCUUUUGUGUUUAUUAUCAACUGCGGCCACCUACAAAUCUUCAAUAUAUGAAGUUAAUGGGAGACAAAUCACCAAACAUUCCGGUUUCUUGGUGUUCAAGUUUACUGAUUUUACGGCUUUGUACGAUUUCUAUAAAGGGGACUUCGAUAUAUGUUUUUUAUUCUGGAAUGAGUGAUUUUUGGUGAUUUUUUGGAUUGGUUCUGUUCGUGUUUCUACGUUUUGCAGUCUUAAAUCAGGUUCGUUUUUUGUUAUGUUUUUCUUACAACCAGCUCCUUUUGCAUACAGUCCUUUUUGUUCAUUUUAAUCAACCAGGUUCGUUUGUGUGCUUCUUUCCCCUUCAAUUUGUAUUCCAUGUCAAUUUUAAGAAUAAAUUUUGAGACAAUCAUUGCUUCAUUGUAAAUCAAUCAUGAGAAAAGUUUAUGCAAUGUAUUGCGGGCACUAAGCAAGACCGCAACAAACCAUCUUCAGAAAGAGCUAAUGGAAUGGCAAGUUAAUUUGUGUGUUGGAUUCAAACACAAAGUCGCCAAUAAUCUCUAUAGCUAUGUUUUAUUUUAUUUUAAGUCACGGUUCUUUUGUGUGGUACACUAUAUAUAUUGGGGACAUAUGAAUCCAAUAGGUGUUAGUAGCUGCUAUGAUGAAGGAAAAAGAACUGUUGAAGCUUUAACAAUGAAUUAUCAUCAAGGAGCUGGUGUGGAGGUCAGAAUUGCGCAUAUGUUCAACACAUAUGGACCUUGGAUGUGUCUAGAUGAUGGACGUGUAGGUGGCAACUUUGUUUCACUGUGUGUCAUCAAGCUCACCCACAAACAACCAAUGACAAUUUAUGGUGAUGUAUAAAGAAAUUGAAGCUUUCAAUACGUCUCCAACUUGGUUGAUGGAUUGAUGGCAUUGAUGGAAGGUGAUCAUCUCAGACCUUUCAAUUUAGGCAAUUUUGGAUAGUUUACUAUGUUAGACCUGGCUUAGAUGCCAAACCUCUUGAAAUUCUUCUUCAUCUUCUCCUACUUGCCGCAGAUAAGCUAUGCUUUUACCUGGGUGGGUCGGGCACUCGGGCUGGUAGGGUAACGGGUUAAAUUGGGUUCAAUCCAAAAUGGGUUGGGAGUUUUUAAGCCAUCUAAGUAAUAGAUGAUUGCUACACAUGGAGAAGAAGGCAUUCACUAAACUUUUAGCAAAUUUACACAGGCUAGGUUGACGUCUGCAACUCUUCCAACUCCAAGUAACGUCAAGGAUUCGGAGAAAAUUAGCAAGAAAGAGACUUAGCUCCUAUCUCUAUGAAUUCAAAGCAGUUUUUAUGAUUUUUACGUUUUAAACAUUGGUUUUUUUGAAUAUUUCAGUUUGUUUGACGUGGUGGUUUGAUCUUUA